rnacentral:rRNA from 1 species
UAAACGGCGGCCGUAACUAUAACGGUCCUAAGGUAGCGAAAUUCCUUGUCGGGUAAGUUCCGACCCGCACGAAAGGCGCAACGACUUGGGCGCUGUCUCAACGAGGGACCCGGUGAAAUUGCAAUAUCGGUACAGAUGCCGAUUACCCGCGACUGGACGGAAAGACCCCGUGGAGCUUUACUGCAGCUUGGCAUUGGAGUUUGGUAUAUCAUGUAGAGGAUAGGUGGGAGGCUGAGAAGCCGGGACGCCAGUCUCGGUGGAGCCACCGGUGGAAUACCACCCUUGAUAUGCUGGGCUUCUAACCUGCGCCGUGAUCCGGUGUGGGGACAGUGUCUGGUAGGCAGUUUGACUGGGGCGGUCGCCUCCUAAAGAGUAACGGAGGCGCCCAAAGGUUCCCUCAGCACGGUCGGAAAUCGUGCGCAGAGUGUAAAGGCACAAGGGAGCUUGACUGCGAGAGGGACACCUCGAGCAGGUGGGAAACCAGGGCUUAGUGACCCUGCGGCUCUGAGUGGCAGGGCCGUCGAUCAACGGAUAAAAGUUACCCCGGGGAUAACAGGCUUAUCUCCCCCAAGAGUUCACAUCGACGGGGAGGCUUGGCACCUCGAUGUCGGCUCAUCGCAUCCUGGGGCUGGAGCAGGUCCCAAGGGUUCGGCUGUUCGCCGAUUAAAGCGGUACGUGAGCUGGGUUCAGAACGUCGUGAGACAGUUCGGUCCCUAUCCGUCGCGGGCGCAGGAGACUUGAGGGGAGCCAUCCUCAGUACGAGAGGACCGGGAUGGACGGACCGCUGGUGGUCCAGUUGUCCCGCCAGGGGCACAGCUGGGUAGCUACGUCCGGAUGGGAUAAGCGCUGAAAGCAUCUAAGCGCGAAGCCCACCCCGAGAUGAGGUCUCCCAUCCCUGAAAAGGGAGUAAGACCCCUGGAAGAUUACCAGGUAGAUAGGCCGGGAGUGUAAGGGCUGUAAGGCCUUAAGCUGACCGGUACUAAUAGGUCGAGGGCUUGACCC